rnacentral:rRNA from 1 species
GACGAACGCUGGCGGCGUGCUUAACACAUGCAAGUCGAACGAUGAAGAAAAGAAUCGAAGCUUCGGCAGAAAUUCAUUUCGGAUUAGUGGCAGACGGGUGAGUAACGCGUGAGCAACCUACCUCUUACAAAGGGAUAGCCUCGGGAAACCGGGAUUAAUACCAUAUAACAUUGCGACGAAGCAUUUCGAUGCAAUCAAAGCUACGGCGGUAAGAGAUGGGCUCGCGUCCCAUUAACCGGAUGGUGAGGUAACGGCUCACCAUAGUGACGAUGGGUAACCGGCAGGAGAGGGUGAGCGGUCACACUGGAGCGGAGACACGGUCCAGACUCCUACGGGAGGCAGCAGUGGGGAAUAUUGCAAAAUGGAGGGAACUCUGAUGCAGCGACGCCGCGUGAGUGAUGAAGGAAUUCGUUUCGUAAAACUCUGUUCUAUGGGAAGAAAAGGACUGGACCAUAGGAGAAAGCUCCGGCUAAAUACGUG